rnacentral:rRNA from 1 species
AACGAACGCUGGCGGCAGGCUAACCCAUGCAAGUUGAGGGCCCCGCCAGGGGAGCGGCCGGCGGGUGAGUUACGCCGGGGAACGUUCCUUUUUGUUUCGAACCACCCCGGGAAACCGGAGCCAAUUCCGGAUAAGCCCCAACGGGGAAAGAUUUAACGCCGAAAGAUCGGCCCGCGUCUGAUUAGCUAGUUGGUGAGGUAACGGCUCACCAAGGCGACGAUCAGUAGCUGGUCUGAGAGGAUGAUCAGCCACACUGGGACUGAGACACGGCCCAGACUCCUACGGGAGGCAGCAGUGGGGAAUAUUGGACAAUGGGCGCAAGCCUGAUCCAGCCAUGCCGCGUGAGUGAUGAAGGCCUUAGGGUUGUAAAGCUCUUUUGUCCGGGAAGAUAAUGACUGUACCGGAAGAAUAAGCCCCGGCUAACUUCGUG